rnacentral:sRNA from 1 species
GCUGGGCACGGUGGCGCACACCUGUAAUCCCAGCAACUCGGGAGGCUGAGGCAGGAGGCUCAGGAGUUCAAAGCCAGCCUCAGCAAUUUAUCAAAGCCCUGAACAACUCAGUGAGACCCUGUCUCAA